UACGGGAGGCAGCAGUGGGGAAUCUUCCGCAAUGGGCGCAAGCCUGACGGAGCAACGCCGCGUGAGUGAAGAAGGUCUUCGGAUCGUAAAGCUCUGUUGAUGGGGACGAACGUGCCUAAUGCGAAUAGUAUUAGGUAAUGACGGUACCCAUCGAGGAAGCCACGGCUAACUACGUGCCAGCAGCCGCGGUAAU
rnacentral:rRNA from 1 species